AUUGAACGCUGGCGGCAGGCCUAACACAUGCAAGUCGAGCGGAUGAAGGGAGCUUGCUCCUGGAUUCAGCGGCGGACGGGUGAGUAAUGCCUAGGAAUCUGCCUGGUAGUGGGGGAUAACGUCCGGAAACGGGCGCUAAUACCGCAUACGUCCUGAGGGAGAAAGUGGGGGAUCUUCGGACCUCACGCUCUCAGAUGAGCCUAGGUCGGAUUAGCUAGUUGGUGGGGUAAAGGCCUACCAAGGGGACGAUCCGUAACUGGUCUGAGAGGCUGAUCAGUCACACUGGAAGUGGGACACGGUCCAGAGUCCUACGGGAGGCAGCAGUGGGGAAUAGUGGGCAAUGGGGGAAAGCCUGAUCCAGCGAGGGCGCGUGUGUGAAGAAGGUCUUCGGAUUGUAAAGCACGUUAAGUUGGGAGGAAGGGCAGUAAGUUGAUACGUUGCUGUUUUGACGGUACCGAGAGAAUAAGCACCGGCUAACUUCGUG
rnacentral:rRNA from 1 species